GUUACACAAUCAGGAAAAGAAGGACUAAAUUCUUGUUUUAAUACAUAAAGCUCAAAAUUAAGGUUGUUUAACUUUCUAUUCCUGAGGACCAUAUUUAAAACCCAAAUAGACAAUUAUGUCAAAAUCUUCCCAAAUCAAAUGAACCUUAGAAUUUGGUAGAAGCAGAUACAAAUACACACAGAAACUUACUAAGAAAAAAAGUGCAAUUGGCUGUGCUCUGGUGGCUCAUGCCU